rnacentral:sRNA from 1 species
UUUCUACCAAUGUACAUAUCCCACUAUAUAUAAAUUAUGAAUUAUUGAGAAGGCAAAUACCAUCACUCUUUAAAUCAUCAUGAUAAACUCAUCUAAAGGAAAUCUCAUAUCCACUAUGUGCUCAAAAUUUACUAUCUCUAUAGUGGUGAUAUCUUUCAUUUGUUCAGAAGCUCUAGAACACGAUAGAGAACUGAUUUCAAUAACAGGACCUCUCAUGACAGUCUCGAUCAAAAAUGAAAAUGACUAUUAUUUUGGAGUUCCAUUGUAAAUUUGCAGAUAAAGAUUUCGGUUUUCGCCUUCUUAAAAAAGGUGAAAUAUAUGAAUGAAAAU